GACAGAGGGGGCAAGCGUUGCUCGGAAUUACUGGGCGUAAAGGGCGCGUAGGCGGGAUGGCAAGUCGGUCGUGAAAUCCCUCGGCUCAACCGAGGAACGUCGAUCGAUACUGCUGUUCUUGAGGAUUGCAGAGGAGACUGGAAUUCCCGGUGUAGCGGUGAAAUGUGUAGAGAUCGGGAGGAACAUCAGUGGCGAAGGCGGUCUGCUGGGCCGUUGCUGACGCUGGAGGCGCGACAGCGUGGGGAGCAAACAGG
rnacentral:rRNA from 1 species